GCUAAAAAUGACAGCCAAGCUGCAUGCAAAGCUUGUUGAUUGGUUGUGUUUGUUGGAAGAGUGUCUCCAUGUAAAUACUUUUUUUUUUUUCAGAAAGAUGUUUUUUGUGGAACUGGUGAGCCAUAAACAUGCCUUGAAAGCUAAACUCUGGAAAUUGGGUGAUUUCAACGCGGAGGCCGGGGCAUCUCAGCUCUAAUGCUGCCCACUGACCCUUUGGAGAAGUCCAGAGCCACUUCUCACCCUUCUGUGUAUGCUUUGGCGUUGGGUUACACAAGGGACGUGGAGAAGCAUGCACAUUGCCAGCCCUGAUCCCACUCCCACCGGAUUUCUCGGAGCCACGGCUGCAGGUUCACUGCCCCGAUAUCACAGCUUCUCACCAAAGUAUACUGGGUGUUUUCCUGUAUAUAUCUAUUCUUCACAAUAACUCACUGACGUUGGUUUUAUGGCUUAACUUCACUGAGAAGUGAUGGUGGAAUGGAAAGAGGACAGUUCCUUUGAGUCCAGCAGAUGUGGACUUAAAUCCACAUCCCAACCACAUCUUAGCCCCGUAAACAGGCAUGCUGACGCAGAGCUGAGUGUGACAGCGACGAUCCAAAUCCUAGAAACCAGCAGACUCAGUGGCGUCUAAAGCGUUUGCAAACAUGUUCCAGCAGAGUGGAUCUAUUGAAAGUUCAGAUGUUGGUGGCUAAUACUUUUCUUUUUUAAAGUCCUUACAGAAUUGACUGACAAAGUCCAUUGAAAACUGAACAAAGUAAGAAAAAUUGCCCAAUCGUGUUGGACUACAAAUUAAAAAAAGUAUUUUAAAUGACACCUUCUCCCUGACUGGGACAUGGUGGCUUAUCAAACAAAGGCUGCAGAUGUGCACUCUGCUUGGCAGGAGGGGCAGGUGUCUCGUGGGGGUCCUCUCCACCCAGGUCUCUUUCAUAGGUGGUGAAAUGCAAGGCAGACAUGAAGUCGGAGGGAACAGGGGAAAGAAGGGUCUUUGAGCCAUUCUCUGGUGCAAUUUGUACCAUGGAAAUUUAGUUUUGAUUUUUUCCAUAUGAAUCAUGAAAAACAUGAAACAUGCAGGGGGUUUAUCAUAAUUCGCAAUGAGA
rnacentral:lncRNA from 1 species